rnacentral:lncRNA from 1 species
AGACUGGAAAAGAAUGGCCCAGAUCCUCUGGACUCCUCAGAUGAGCGGAUUCAGAGAGAAGCUUUUGAGAGCGUGCUGGCGGAGACAUUUUUCACAAAAGAGCCCUUGCGGUGCUGGUGUCCGUGGCGUGCCUGGGCCCACCAACGCUGGCCGGCCUCCAAGCACCCGGGCCUCUGCUCAUGUACAGCUCCUGAACUGCCCUGCCUCUGAGUUACUGUGGAAAAUGAGCUUAUAUAUGAAGAAGUCAGCGAGUGGACAAAGCCAGGCGCAAUGGAUAGCAAAGAUGUGGAAGUCUCCUCGAUUCAAGUUACAAGAAAACCGCAGCAUGGAGUCUGCUCUCAGCUGUUGGGGAAUUACCGAUGCCUUUGACUAAGUCAAGACUGACUUUUCCAGAAUAUCACCCAAGAGAUAGAGCCGUCCCUGUCCAAGUUUGUGCGCUAGCCCUUCAUGGAGGUCAGAGAGGAAGAAACAAAGGCAGCUGUGGCCUCGGCGGUCACAGUGUCAGAACGCACAAGCCCCAUAAAGAGGUUUCACGCAGGCCACCCAUCCCUUUUCAUUCUCCAGCAGAACAGGACAGAGAGCGUUCUGUUCUGCGGAAGGUCUUCCACUCUACAAGGCAAUCCCUCCAGCUGCUUUGCUGUAUUGUGCUGUCUCCUGUCACACUAUGAAUGCAGUGACCUCAGCCAGCAACAGGGAGAACCCCCCUGCCUCCCGAACAAAGGACCUCACGUGAAAUCCUGAGCUCAGAGCUUACAGAUAUGUGUGCGCUUUCACUUUACAUCGGCCGUGACUUCCAAACAACUUCAGGAAACUUUAGGAUCUCUGAGGUAUACUGGAGAUGACAGCAGCGUAGAAUGUUCAUUUGGAUUUAGAACAGAAAUGCUUAUUUUAUAUUUGGCUGCUCCCAAACUGUCCCCAGACUUCCUCUCCAGUGGUUACCCUCCACUGCCCUGGAUGUCCCACGUUUACACUCCACACUCACACCUCCACCUUAACAAAGUCCUCCACUGGGUCAAACCAUACAUCGCUUCGUCUCUGUAGUGAUGACUUCCUGUCCUCUGCUCUGUGGAUAAAGACCCCAGAUAAAGAUGCCUGUGUUGCUCAACUCUUGUAAAUACUCUUGAGACAUUUUGAAAGCAGAAGGAAAGGAGACAGACGGGGAAAAUAAAAGGGAUGGUCUGCUUGUGCGGAAACGUUUUGAGAAUGCCCUUCCCUAAGAGAGAACAGUAAAAGUGAGCAAUACUUCCUG